rnacentral:miRNA from 1 species
CAUGACACACUGGCUGGUCUGGA